ensembl:snRNA U6 U6 spliceosomal RNA
GUACUUGCUUCAGCAUCACACAUACUAAAACUGGAAUGAUUUGCGAAGAUUUACAUGGCCUCUGCACAAGAAUGUCAUGCAAGUUCAUGACAUGAAGAAUUCCAAGUGUUU